rnacentral:rRNA from 1 species
GAUGAACGCUGGCGGCGUGCCUAAUACAUGCAAGUCGAGCGAACAGACGAGGAGCUUGCUCCUCUGACGUUAGCGGCGGACGGGUGAGUAACACGUGGAUAACCUACCUAUAAGACUGGGAUAACUUCGGGAAACCGGAGCUAAUACCGGAUAAUAUAUUGAACCGCAUGGUUCAAUAGUGAAAGACGGUUUUGCUGUCACUUAUAGAUGGAUCCGCGCCGCAUUAGCUAGUUGGUAAGUUAACGGCUUACCAAGGCAACGAUGCGUAGCCGACCUGAGAGGGUGAUCGGCCACCCUGGAACUGAGACACGGUCCAGACUCCUACGGGAGGCAGCAGUAGGGAAUCUUCCGCAAUGGGCGAAAGCCUGACGGAGCAACGCCGCGUGAGUGAUGAAGGUCUUCGGAUCGUAAAACUCUGUUAUUAGGGAAGAACAAAUGUGUAAGUAACUAUGCACGUCUUGACGGUACCUAAUCAGAAAGCCACGGCUAACUACGUG